rnacentral:lncRNA from 1 species
GCUUUUUAGUGAACACCGCAGCAAAUAAAGCUACCAAGAUGCAGUCUUUCCAAGAUGUAAGUUUAUGUAGUUCUAUACGAAGACAAGUGAGAGGCGCUGUAGGGCUCUGUAGAAAGCCAAAGCAAAAGGGGAGGAGCGGUAUCGGGGAGUAAAGUAGCCACACGGUGUGUCUGUCCCACCAGGCAUUCGCUCGAAUCUAACCAACCGACGCUGAGCAGGGAUCGGAUAAAGACGCGUUCUGUGGCAUCUGCCAAAACUCCCGACCACUCCGCUCACAAUUGUCAACGGAGAGACAGUAGCCCGCAAACAGCGGACACCUGACAGGCAACAGAAGGGAUAAAGCAAGAGGCAACAUAAUACAUUUAGCCGUAAAAUGCAACAGUCUUUGUUGGAUUAAAACAUCAUUCAAAGAUAAGCGUCGUAUAGGCAGUGAAACAAGGACGAACGCCGGUGCUGAAGCUGAACUGCGACUAGGGAGGUGUAGACGGGAAUACUCAAAAGAUCGAAUUUGUCUGAUGAGAAUCGCCAUCCACCAGAGACCUAAGGGCCUGCUCCACUCCUUCUCCGACAGCUGAAAGUGUUCAUUUGGUAAUCACCCCGGUAAUUACUUCGAAUCUGAACCUAAACUAUACCGAAACUAAUUUCACACCAUACUGUAUAACAACAGAUGAAAUACAUUAAGUAAAGUAUGAUGGGGAGAAUGGGUGAGUUGAUGAGCGUGGGGAACGAUGAUGCAUAAUUAUGUAAUCACCAAUUGUGAAAUUUAACCAUUCUAAUUAUAAUCUUAAAAUGGUGUGUACCCAAUAUCAGUCCACCGAAUCCAAGCAGUCUUAUCAGUCUACGCUGACCUACUUGGAGCAGGCUAAACAGUG